rnacentral:rRNA from 1 species
CCUACGGGCGGCAGCAGUGGGGAAUAUUGCACAAUGGGGGAAACCCUGAUGCAGCGACGCCGCGUGAGUGAAGAAGUAAUUCGGUAUGUAAAGCUCUAUCAGCAGGGAAGAAACAGACGGUACCUGAGUAAGAAGCCCCGGCUAACGACGUGCCAGCAGCCGCGGUAAUACGCAGGGGGCAAGCGUUAUCCGGAGUUACUGGGUGUAAAGGGAGCGUAGACGGCGAAGAAAGUCUGAAGUGAAAGCCCGCGGCUUAACCGCUGAACUGCUUUGGAAACUUUUGUGCUGGAGUACAGGAGAGGUAAGCGGAAUUCCUAGUGUAGCGGUGAAAUGCGUAGAUAUUAGGAGGAACACCAGUGGCGAAGGCGGCUUACUGGACGGUAACUGACGUUGAGGCUCGAAAGCGUGGGGAGCAAACAGGAUUAGAUACCCCAGUAGUC